rnacentral:rRNA from 1 species
GGCCACUUCGGUGGUACUCGAGCGGCGAACGGGUGAGUAACACGUGAGUAAUCUGCCCUUGGCUUCGGGAUAGCCACCGGAAACGGUGAUUAAUACCGGAUAUGACCGUCUGCCGCAUGGUGGGUGGUGGAAAGUUUUUUCGGCCAGGGAUGUGCUCGCGGCCUAUCAGCUUGAUGGUGAGGUAAUGGCUCACCAUGGCUUCGACGGGUAGCCGGCCUGAGAGGGUGACCGGUCACACUGGGACUGAGACACGGCCCAGACUCCUACGGGAGGCAGCAGUGGGGAAUAUUGGACAAUGGGCGGAAGCCUGAUCCAGCAACGCCGCGUGAGGGAUGACGGCCUUCGGGUUGUAAACCUCUUUCAGCAGGGACGAAGCGCAAGUGACGGUACCUGCAGAAGAAGCACCGGCCAACUACGUGCCAGCAGCCGCGGUAAUACGUAGGGUGCGAGCGUUGUCCGGAAUUAUUGGGCGUAAAGGGCUCGUAGGCGGUUUGUCGCGUCGGGAGUGAAAACCAGGUGCUUAACACCUGGCUUGCUUUCGAUACGGGCAGACUAGAGGUAUUCAGGGGAGAACGGAAUUCCUGGUGUAGCGGUGAAAUGCGCAGAUAUCAGGAGGAACACCGGUGGCGAAGGCGGUUCUCUGGGAAUGACCUGACGCUGAGGAGCGAAAGUGUGGGGAGCGAACAGGAUUAGAUACCCUGGUAGUCCACACCGUAAACGUUGGGCGCUAG